rnacentral:rRNA from 1 species
UGAGGAAUAUUGCGCAAUGGAGGAAACUCUGACGCAGCAACGCCGCGUGAGUGAAGAAGGCCCUCGGGUUGUAAAGCUCUGUCAGGUGGGAAGAACCCUCUGUAGUUGAAUAGGCUACAGAACUGACGGUACCACCAAAGGAAGCACCGGCUAACUCCGUGCCAGCAGCCGCGGUAAGACGGAGGGUGCAAGCGUUGUUCGGAAUCACUGGGCGUAAAGCGCGUGUAGGCGGCUUGACAAGUCGAAUGUGAAAGCCCGGGGCUCAACCUCGGAAGUGCAUUCGAAACUGUCAGGCUUGAGUACGGGAGAGGGAAGUGGAAUUCCUGGUGUAGAGGUGAAAUUCGUAGAUAUCAGGAGGAACACCGGUGGCGAAGGCGGCUUCCUGGACCGAUACUGACGCUGAGACGCGAAAGCGUGGGGAGCAAACA